rnacentral:tRNA from 1 species
GCCACGGUGGUCUAGCGGUUAGAACGCUGGCCUUGUAAUCCUGGGGUUUUGGGUUCGAUUCCCGGCGGUGCCC